rnacentral:rRNA from 1 species
ACACAUGCAAGUCGAGGGGAAACGGCAUUUAGUGCUUGCACCGAAUGGACGUCGACCGGCGCACGGGUGAGUAACGCGUAUCCAACCUACCCAUUACUGUGGGAUAACCUGCCGAAAGGCAGACUAAUACCGCAUAGUCUUCGAUGACGGCAUCAGAUUUGAAGUAAAGAUUUAUCGGUAAUGGAUGGGGAUGCGUCUGAUUAGCUUGUUGGCGGGGUAACGGCCCACCAAGGCAACGAUCAGUAGGGGUUCUGAGAGGAAGGUCCCCCACAUUGGAACUGAGACACGGUCCAAACUCCUACGGGAGGCAGCAGUGAGGAAUAUUGGUCAAUGGGCGCGAGCCUGAACCAGCCAAGUAGCGUGCAGGAUGAUGGCCCUAUGGGUUGUAAACUGCUUUUGUAUGGGGAUAAAGUCAAUCACGUGUGAUUGUUUGCAGGUACCAUACGAAUAAGGACCGGCUAAUUCCGUGCCAGCAGCCGCGGUAAUACGGAAGGUCCGGGCGUUAUCCGGAUUUAUUGGGUUUAAAGGGAGCGUAGGCCGGAGAUUAAGUGUGUUGUGAAAUGUAGACGCUCAACGUCUGACUUGCAGCGCAUACUGGUUUCCUUGAGUACGCACAACGUUGGCGGAAUUCGUCGUGUAGCGGUGAAAUGCUUAGAUAUGACGAAGAACUCCGAUUGCGAAGGCAGCUGACGGGAGCGCAACUGACGCUUAAGCUCGAAGGUGCGGGUAUCGAACAGGAUUAGAUACCCUGGUAGUCCGCACAGUAAACGAUGGAUGCCCGCUGUUGGUA